GAGAGUCAGUCUGAAACAGCAGGGAGGAGCCUCAACGGAUGGUGCUGCAGCCUUGAGGGUUCUCUGCUGGAGCCCAGCCUACCCACCAAACUCCAGAAAUGGGACAUAACAAAUCUUGUUCAAGCCUAUUGAAUCAGGAUUCUCCUACUUGUCUCCUACUUGUGAAGACAUCUUAAGAACUUGAGAGGGAGAAAAUAUUAGACUUGAGGCACUGCAGCCAUCUUCCUACAACUUGGAUACUAUGAGUGAAGUCAGGAUAUCACAAGAUGAGAAAAUUGAAGUUGGGGGGAGGAGAAGUCCCCUGUGCAAGGUCAAGAGCCAGGGAGUGACUGAGCUACCAGACACCACAAACAACACGUAUGGCACCGCAUCACGCCUCCUCCUCUGAGCUCUCUCUGCCUGGCACACCAGUAGCAAUCUCUCCAAGAUUAAGCCAUUUGAUUUCCACGGUAAACAGAGAGGAAAGCAAGACAGGUAUCAUUAACUCUUGUUUCAAAUGAGAAGACCGAGGUUCGGAUUUGCUCAGGAUCAUGCAACUAGCAGAUGGACAAAGGAAGACUCACACCACGGUUUUCUCUCUGAAAACUUCACACUCCUUACAGCAGAUGAUGCUGCAUCUAUCCUCCUCCUGAUUCUUGAGACAACUUGCCAAGUGACCACAUACCAGCUCUGCCACCUUCCGCUACCACCAUCUAUGGCAGUAACAGCUGCAGCCACCAUUUCGCUGUAACUCAGUGAGGACCCUAAGCUAGAUGUACCCAGCUGGAGCCUUCCAGAAUUCCUGACUCACUGAAGCCACAUGAGGAACAUCAUCUGAGGAAAGAACAGGAAUUUCUUAAGCAAGUGAAGAAGAUGGCUUUUGCAGUUUUAUAUUGCUCUCAUUUUUUCUCUUCAUGUGCUUUCUCUUGCUUUCAUAAUUAAAAACAAAUAACAGUAGCGGUAGGAUUUGCCCUGGGAUUUUGUUAGAAUGAAGAAGGAUGGCUCUAAUUCUCUAUAAAUUAGUUCUGCUAGUGACUGUACCCAUUGAAUUUCUGCUCAGGAAGUUACAACAGAAAAAACAACAUGCUUUGGAAUCAGACAAAUCCUUAGCCUUGAUUUCCUUUUCUAUAGGAUUGAGAUGUUUGUGCCUGAUUCAAUUCAAUAAGUGAUUUUGAAUAUUAAUUGAUAAUUUCCAAAAGGGAAUGAUCACAUUGGGAAAAUUUUUAGUCUUGAGUUAUUGUUUUUGUUCUCUUCCUUAUGCCUAUUCUACCAGGUGGACCUUGAGUUAGAGUGAUCACAUGCUUCACUUAUUUCCUCCUUGCAUCAAAUGACAGGAUUAUGGCUAAUCUGGAAAUCCUUUGUGUAUAAUCCUUAACAAAUCCUCAGGCAGCCUUCCCCCAUGUGGAGACUCAACAAUGCCCUCUACAAGCCACAAACAAAGGAGAGGAGAGCUGGGGAGGGAACCCCUUGUUGGUUUGCAAAUGCUUCACUUUAGAAGUGACACACAUUGCUUGUACUCAUAGCCUAGUGGUCAGAACUAGUCACAUGACCCAGACUCCCUGCAAUGGAAAUAGGGAAUAUGAAUACCUAUUAACCUAGCAGUAAAUAUCUCUGCCACACAAGGUUUCAAGAGAACCAAUCCAAGUCUUAGCUCCCCUGACCACAAGUGAUGCUGGGUAAGCUGAGCAGACAGGCACACCCUCUUGCCCUCCCAUCUGUCCAAUGUGGUCAUCAUUUUAGGAGCUCAACAAGAAGAGUGAUACUAGAGUUCAGGGAAAACUUUUGAUUAUUAAGAAUACACACAAAAGACAAAAUAUAGUGUAAUGGGCUGAGAUUAGGGAGGAGCCCUGCAAAUCUGGUGCCUGGAAAUCAAGUCAACGGGAUGCCAAGAAGAAAAGAAAUAUUGAACAAUGUGGAAACAUUUACGAGAAAUCUAGAGCACAGCUAUGCACUGGUAGCUUCCAAGGCACAGCCUUCCCACAGAUGUGUUUUGUAUUACUUACACAAGGUCUAAAAGAUGUUUUUAAUUAACUGCCAAUGUUUAAAAAUGGGAAAUUGUACAUAAAAAUCUAGACUUUUCCCCUUCUGUUGAAAAUUUGGAAGAUUGGGUAACACUGAGUCAGCAACAAUUUUUCCACAAUGCCUGGCAAUCAUUAGCUGGAGGUGAGGGGCUGCUGCUCCCUAUAGAUGCUUUGCCAUUCACCAACCCCUACUGAGCUCUGUUCAUUCAUUUAUAGUAACUGAUGAUCCAAGAGGAGUUUGGGUUUGCAACUUCUGGUCUCAUUGAGCUGAUGGGAGCUCUUUCCAGCUCUGUGAACAAUCAUACUACAUAAGUUACAUAGAAAUAAACCAACAGGGGCCACCUGAGUGGCUCAGUGGUUGAGCAUCUGCCUUUGGCUAGGUCAUGAUUCCAGGGUCCUGGAAUCGAGUUCUGCAUCAGGCUCCCCACAGGAAGCCUACUUCUCCCU